rnacentral:rRNA from 1 species
AUUGAACGCUGGCGGCAUGCCUUACACAUGCAAGUCGAACGGCAGCACGGGAGCAAUCCUGGUGGCGAGUGGCGAACGGGUGAGUAAUAUAUCGGAACGUGCCCAGUCGUGGGGGAUAACGCAGCGAAAGCUGUGCUAAUACCGCAUACGAUCUACGGAUGAAAGCGGGGGAUCGCAAGACCUCGCGCGAUUGGAGCGGCCGAUAUCAGAUUAGCUAGUUGGUGGGGUAAAGGCCCACCAAGGCGACGAUCUGUAGCUGGUCUGAGAGGACGACCAGCCACACUGGAACUGAGACACGGUCCAGACUCCUACGGGAGGCGGCAGUGGGGAAUUUUGGACAAUGGGCGCAAGCCUGAUCCAGCAAUGCCGCGUGCAGGAUGAAGGCCUUCGGGUUGUAAACUGCUUUUGUACGGAACGAAUCGGCCCUUUCUAAUACAGGGGGCUAAUGACGGUACCGUAAGAAUAAGCACCGGCUAACUACGUGCCAGCCGCCGCAGUAA